GCGGACGGGUGAGUAACACGUGGAUAACCUACCUAUAAGACUGGGAUAACUUCGGGAAACCGGAGCUAAUACCGGAUAAUAUAUUGAACCGCAUGGUUCAAUAGUGAAAGACGGUUUUGCUGUCACUUAUAGAUGGAUCCGCGCCGCAUUAGCUAGUUGGUAAGGUAACGGCUUACCAAGGCGACGAUGCGUAGCCGACCUGAGAGGGUGAUCGGCCACACUGGGACUGAGACACGGUCCAG
rnacentral:rRNA from 1 species